UACGAAGGGGGGCUAGCGUUGCUCGGAAUCACUGGGCGUAAAGCGUGCGCAGGCGGUUAUUUAAGUCAGGUGUGAAAGCCCUGGGCUUAACCUAGGAAUUGCGCUUGAGACUGGAUAGCUUGGAGUGCGGCAGAGGGAGGUGGAAUUCCACGUGUAGCAGUGAAAUGCGUAGAGAUGUGGAGGAACACCGAUGGCGAAGGCAGCCUCCUGGGCCAACACUGACGCUCAUGCACGAAAGCGUGGGGAGCAAACAGG
rnacentral:rRNA from 1 species